UUGACUAUUAAUAGUCCGCAAAAUAUAUUAGUCGUGUAACUGACAUUGAACCAGAUCGUUUUGUUGUUAAAAAAAUUAUUUGGAUCGUUCGGAAGUGGUAUUUUUUUUUUUUAUUAUUUUACAGCGAACCAUUGAUUCUGUGGGAAGAAUGCAUUCCAUGAUGGCAGACUGACGAGGCCUUUCGGAGCUGGGCCGAAGUUCUUCCAUCUCGUGUGGCCUUCCGAGUUCAACCAAUUUUAAUGAUUCCAAAAUAUACAAUUUUUUGCGUCUUCUUCAUGGGUGCGGCAUCCCUGAUAUUAUUUUCAUCAAACUUUUUUAUAUCGAUGUAUUCUCGGAUGUAUUCUCCCGUUUGAGUUGAAAAUUGAAAAAUAAAAUAAAG